CGCGCCAAGGAAAAGGUAUUAUCUCUUCUAAUAAUCAAAUCAGACACAUCAUACACGCUCGUUCGCGGUGGGGAGGGAAUUCCACACCAGUGAUGGCUACACGGUCGAAGAAGAAGCGGAGGAGCGAUGAUGGCGGUGUGGUGUUGGUGGGAGUCCCAGGGAAGCGGAAGGUGGAGAAUGGGGCUUCCCCCGGUGGUGGGGAGCGCGUUGUAAUCGAGCACUGCACCAGUUGACGGGUUUAUGGGCGAGCGGCUGGUGAAUUGGAAGGUGUCAUUCACUCUAAUUUUCCAGAAAUACAAAUUGAGUUGAACCCUGUAAAACCA